AUUGAACGCUGGCGGCAGGCCUAACACAUGCAAGUCGAACGAGUGGCGGACGGGUGAGUCAUGUCUGGGAAACUGCCCGAUGGAAGGGGAUAACUACUGGAAACGGUAGCUAAUACCGCAUACCAUCGGAUGUGCCCAGAUGGGUUUAGCUAGUAGGUGGGGUAAUGGCUCACUUAGGGGACGAUCCCUAGCUGGUCUGAGGGGAUGACCAGCCACACUGGAACUGAGUCACGGGCCAGACUCCUACGGGAGGGAGCAGGGGGGAAUAUUGCACAAUGGGCGCAGGCAUGCUGCAGCCAUGCCGCGUGUAUGAAGAAGGCCUUCGGGUUGUAAAGUACUUUCAGCGGGGAGGCGUUACCCGCAGAAGAAGCACCGGCUAACUCCGUGCCAGCCGCCGCGGUAAUA
rnacentral:rRNA from 1 species